CACAGAAAAGGUGGUCUACAACAGAAAUUUGAAUGUUGUUGUUUUCCCGCCUGCCUGGUUAUCUGAUAAUGCCUUAUCUGAUUGCCUUUCCUGGUAGUCUGGCCAUUCCUUUGAGAUGGUGUUUACCCAAUUCCUGAGACAAUGGGAAGGUUCCCUCACCCCCUCCCUCCUUGCAGAGAACACAUUUGGUCAGUUUGGGAGUCAAAAUGGUUUCAGGACUGUUUUCCUGUGCUGCUUCAGACAUGUUGUUUAUAUAUUUAUGUACAUGCUUGGUUGGUACAUUUAUGAACAUUUUAUUUCAUCUGCAAUGCAGGAAGAUGCAGUCGAACAAACCUGGAACCUUGGCAUUAUCAGCCCCAUGCUCUAACCAGCUGAGCUCUCUAGAAAGGAGUCAGCUAGAUGGGUAAAGAAAAGGCGCUUGAUAUAUGUGCAUUACAACACUGUGACACCAGAUGGCGCUGCGGAGUUCCAUUUUUGCCAGCGCGAUUUCUCAUAUAAAGUUUACAACGCGAUUCCCUUUUUUAUUUAUGCUUUUAAGAUUUAUACAUGUCAUUAAUUUUACAAUCAUUUUAACAUUUCAAAGCUUGACUUCCUCCUCUUUCUGCGGUUCCUUAAAUUUAUUUUUAAUAUCUUCUGCAUAUCCAAAUUAACUUAAAUUUGCUCAUUUGUUCAUCUACAGUCGUACCUCGGAAGUCGAACGGAAUCUGUUCCAGAAGCCUGUUCAACUUCCGAAAAUGUUCGAAAACAAAGGCGUGACUUCCGAUUGGCUGCAGGAGCUUCCUGCACUCAAUCGGAAUCCAUAGAAGCCACAUCAGCUGUUCGGGUUUCAAAGAACGUUCACAAACAAGGAAAACUCACUUCCGGGUUUGCUGUGUUCAAGAACCAAGGUACGACUGUACUUUAAAUAUACACUCUUAUGAAAAUGCAGGUUAUUACAAUAAUCCUGCCAAUGUUCUUAUCUGUUUG